rnacentral:rRNA from 1 species
UACGUAGGGACCGAGCGUUGUCCGGAAUCAUUGGGCGUAAAGAGCGUGUAGGCGGUCUGCUAAGUCCUGCGUGAAAUCUCGGGGCUCAACCCCGAGCGGUCGUGGGAAACUGGCAGGCUAGAGUGCGGGAGAGGAGAGUGGAAUUCCUGGUGUAGCGGUGAAGUGCGCAGAUAUCAGGAAGAACACCCGUGGCGAAGGCGGCUCUCUGGAACGCAACUGACGCUGAGACGCGAAAGCGUGGGGAGCAAACAGG